CGGCUCAGUAACACUUAGUCAACCUUCCCUCGGGUCGAGGAUAAUCUCGGGAAACUGAGGCUAAUACUCGAUAGUUCAAGAUUCCUGGAAUGGGUUUUGGUCGAAAUGAGGUAACUACAUCUCUGUUAUUUUCGCCCAAGGAUGGGACUGCGGCCGAUCAGGCUGUUGGUGGGGUAAAGGCCCACCAAACCAGUAACCGGUACGGGCUUUGAGAGAAGGAGCCCGGAGAUGGACACUGAGACAAGGGUCCAGGUCCUACGGGGCGCAGCAGGCGCGAAACCUUCGCAAUGCGCGAAAGCGCGACGAGGUUAUUCCGAGUGAUUUCCGCUGAGGAAAUCUUUUCUCAGAUCUAAAAUGUCUGGGGAAUAAGGGGAGGGCAAGUCUGGUGUCAGCCGCCGCGGUAAUACCAGCUCCUCGAGUGGUCAGGGCGUUUAUUGGGCCUAAAGCAUCCGUAGCCUGCUCGGUAGGUCUCCUGUUAAAUCCAACGGCUCAACCGUUGGUCUGCAGGAGAUACCGCUGGGCUAGGAGGCGGGAGAGGCGGACGGUGCUCCGAGGGUAGGGGUAAAAUCCUUUGAUCCCCGGAAGA
rnacentral:rRNA from 1 species